rnacentral:rRNA from 1 species
UACGAAGGUGGCUAGCGUUGAUCGGUAUCACUGGGCUUAAAGAGUGCGUAGGCGGAAGAGAAAGCGUUUUGUGAAAGUCCUCGGCUUAACCGAGGAACUGCAGAGCGAACUGCUUUUCUUGAGGCAAGUAAGGGUGCACGGAACUCUUGGUGGAGCGGUGGAAUGCGUAGAUAUCAAGAGGAACGCCGGUGGUGAAGACGGUGCACUGGGCUUGUCCUGACGCUGAGGCACGAAAGCGUGGGGAGCAAACGGGAUUAGAUACCCCUGUA